GAUGAACGCUGGCGGCAUGCCUUACACAUGCAAGUCGAACGGCAGCACGGGAGCAAUCCUGGUGGCGAGUGGCGAACGGGUGAGUAAUAUAUCGGAACGUGCCCAGUCGUGGGGGAUAACGUAGCGAAAGCUACGCUAAUACCGCAUACGAUCUAUGGAUGAAAGCGGGGGAUCGCAAGACCUCGCGCGAUUGGAGCGGCCGAUAUCAGAUUAGGUAGUUGGUGAGGUAAAGGCUCACCAAGCCGACGAUCUGUAGCUGGUCUGAGAGGACGACCAGCCACACUGGGACUGAGACACGGCCCAGACUCCUACGGGAGGCAGCAGUGGGGAAUUUUGGACAAUGGGCGCAAGCCUGAUCCAGCAAUGCCGCGUGCAGGAUGAAGGCCUUCGGGUUGUAAACUGCUUUUGUACGGAACGAAACGGCGAGCUCUAAUACAGUUUGCUAAUGACGGUACCGUAGGAAUAAGCACCGGCUAACUACGCGCCAGCAGCCGCAGUAA
rnacentral:rRNA from 1 species